ACUUUCUUAAGAUCCUACCUAGUAGGUACUAGGUAGAAGUACCAGGUUGGAAUUCAGGUCUCCUGGCCACUAGAGCCUACAUUCUCUGUACUACCUCUUAUAGCUUCUUAAAUGUGAGAAUGGAUGCUGCAGGGAGAGGAUUAUUUUUACUGCUCUUGUUUUUGACACUCACAGAUUGUGUGUAGAACUGCAUUUGACAAAUAUCACUUUAUUGAACACUGUGUUUUUUUCCCUCUUUCUCCGCCACCUUACUGUUCAGUGCUUCAGGCACCGUGUACACAGCAAUGGAUGUGGCCACAGGACAGGAGGUGGCCAUUAAGCAGAUGAAUCUUCAGCAGCAGCCCAAGAAAGAGCUGAUUAUUAAUGAGAUCCUGGUCAUGAGGGAAAACAAGAACCCAAACAUUGUGAACUACUUGGACAGUUACCUCGUGGGAGAUGAGCUGUGGGUUGUUAUGGAAUACUUGGCUGGAGGCUCCUUGACAGAUGUGGUGACAGAAACUUGCAUGGAUGAAGGCCAAAUUGCAGCUGUGUGCCGUGAGUGUCUGCAGGCUCUGGAGUUCUUGCAUUCGAACCAGGUCAUUCACAGAGACAUCAAGAGUGACAAUAUUCUGUUGGGAAUGGAUGGCUCUGUCAAGCUAACUGACUUUGGAUUCUGUGCACAGAUAACCCCAGAGCAGAGCAAACGGAGCACCAUGGUAGGAACCCCAUACUGGAUGGCACCAGAGGUUGUGACACGAAAGGCCUAUGGGCCCAAGGUUGACAUCUGGUCCCUGGGCAUCAUGGCCAUCGAAAUGAUUGAAGGGGAG
rnacentral:sRNA from 1 species